GCGGGAGUAACUCAGUUGGUAGAGUGUCAGCUUCCCAAGCUGAAUGUCGCCGGUUCGAACCCGGUCUCUCGCU
rnacentral:tRNA from 1 species